GUUCAAAUAAUGUCAGAGUAAGAUCAGCGAAUUUUUAGAUAGCUGCACUGUUUUCUUUUUCGUUAACAAUACGUGAAAACAUAAUAUAAGGAAAACAAGGCAUUAUACUACACAAUAAGACAAAAUAUGUAAAUACGGACACAUAUCCACUGGGUUGUAAGUCACGUAAGGAGUAUUCCGUUCAAAGCACGUAUUUUUGUAUUUGUUUUGUGAGACAGAGUGUUUGGUCCGUUGUCAAGUCAGGGUCUAUAUAUGCUGUCUGUGAGUCGUGUGCCUGACUGAGCUAUUUGCCAGCUUCUCCAAGUUAUUGCGUGAGGUAUGUGUUACUAUCGUUCAGGUCUGUAUCGGGGGUCUGCCUCUUUGUUGUCCGUUAGGGGGUCUAGUGUGGGGGUACCUACUUGGUGGUCCCAUCUUUCAGUGGAGGUGAUGCGUCUAUUGGGAGUUUGCGGUCUGUUGGUAGUCGGGGACCAGUGCCCACUGUAUGUCUCUUGCCUGGCAUGUGUGUACUAAUUGCCUGUGGAACUCUGUGUGACUUCGUGGAACAAAGCCAGUUAUGGCUUGUAGUGCCAGUGUGGGACAGGCCAAGUCAAGUUAAUGCACAUUACGAUGAACUUAGGAGUAAUGCAAAACAAAGCAGAGGUCUUCAAUUGGUGAGGUCAUAGCUCAAAGUCCUGUGUCAACAGUAUAGCAUGUCUUCUUGUGGGUUAACAUUUUUGUCAGGUGGGAGCUAUUGUACGUUCCGUGUCUCUCGGGGUAAAGGACACCAAUCUCUCUGGGUCCCAGGUAUGUGAUCUUGCGGGAGUUGCUAUCUCCGCGUUCGGCGUGGGAAUCCCCAAGGUUUGGAGGUAUGAGGUCGCCUCCUGCGGUGUGGACAGUCUCUUUGUGCUCCCAUCUUUAGUGACUAGCAGAGUACGCAGUAAUCCCCACCGGUAUUCGAUGCCCAUGUUGCGUAGGUGGUUGGUCACCGGGCCCAUUGAUCUGCUCCAUAAUAGCGUUGUACGGGUAAUGUCCUGGUAAAAAGUGAGUUGGGCGCCUUCGAAGUUUAGCGGGGUUUUACCUCUGACCGCGGUCAUUAUUUGGAUCUUAUCAGCGGUUGAAUGGCAUCGGACGAUGACGUCCUGUGGGGCUCCUUGUGGUGCUUGCCUUGGCUUUGGUAUGCGGAAUAAGCCUUUAAAAGUGAGUUUCUUCGCUUGGGCG